rnacentral:rRNA from 1 species
UACGUAGGGGGCAAGCGUUGUCCGGAUUUAUUGGGCGUAAAGAGCGUGUAGGCGGCCAGGUAGGUCCGUUGUGAAAACUGGAGGCUCAACCUCCAGCGGUCGAUGGAAACCAUCUGGCUAGAGUCCGGAAGAGGAGAGUGGAAAUUCCACGUGUAGCAGUGAAAUGCGUAGAGAUGUGGAGGAAUACCGAUGGCGAAGGCAGCCCCCCUGGGCCAAUACUGACGCUCAUGCACGAAAGCGUGGGGAGCAAACAGG